rnacentral:ncRNA from 1 species
UAAGACACGACUUAGUACCCUUUUGGCGAAAACUACUGUCAAAACUAUAAGGAACGAGUGACCUUCGCGUGAAGCGUAAAUAGACAUCCAUGAUGUCAGUCAACGGACGCUUCUUGCAUGGCAUCCGAUGGGUCUAAGGAUGCUCAUGUUGACUGACUAUGUAACUACUGUGGCCUGAUUUACAAGUUAUACAUGGAUUAUGACAAGUCGCGAACGAAA